CUCUUUCAAAUGUUUAUGCAACAGCAGGGGGGAAUGCGAUAGGAACGUAAAAGCAUGCUAUCAAACAGGAGGAUAUAGCUUAGCAAGAAGUGUUCACGAGUUAUUUGUGAUGUUUUUUUAAUCAUCUUCUUUCUUUCAACUUGUAUACGAUGAGCAACAGUAGAAAAGAACGGAAAAGAUGC
rnacentral:ribozyme from 13 species